AACGAACGCUGGCGGCAGGCUUAACACAUGCAAGUCGAGCGCCCCGCAAGGGGAGCGGCAGACGGGUGAGUAACGCGUGGGAAUCUACGCAUCUCUACGGAAUAACGCAUGGAAACGUGUGCUAAUACCGUAUACGUCAUUCGGGAGAAAGAUUUAUCGGAGAUGGAUGAGCCCGCGUUGGAUUAGCUAGUUGGUGGGGUAAAGGCCUACCAAGGCGACGAUCCAUAGCUGGUCUGAGAGGAUGAUCAGCCACACUGGGACUGAGACACGGCCCAGACUCCUACGGGAGGCAGCAGUGGGGAAUAUUGGACAAUGGGCGCAAGCCUGAUCCAGCCAUGCCGCGUGAGUGAUGAAGGCCCUAGGGUUGUAAAGCUCUUUCACCGGUGAAGAUAAUGACGGUAACCGGAGAAGUAGCCCCGGCUAACUUCGUGCCAGCAGCCGCCGUAAUAC
rnacentral:rRNA from 1 species